UUAAACAUAGGGAAUGAAGUUCUCCCUUGAUAUCUAUCAAAAUCGCUAAUAAGCUAAUGACUUCUACAACCUU
rnacentral:ncRNA from 2 species